GACUGUGUGGUUUUGAUACCCAUUGUACAUUACCAUGCCCAGCCUCCGUGGAUCUAUCUCGCACUGGAACAAAAGUGGAAUAGUGUGUGUCCUACCUUAACUCCGAAAGCCUAGCAAAGAACAUUCUCCUAGGUUACAGUGUCUCUUUUAUUUGGUUUGCAUUGUUCCAUUUUUGCUUUUUUCCAGUGCCUCUGCCCCAAGUGCCUAUUUGGUGAAAUGGUGAGCCUGUCAUGGAUUGGGGGUUUAUUCUUUGAUUGAAGGUAGUAUUGAGUUAUUAAUCUAUAUACUCUCUUUAUUUUAAUAUAUACAAGCAUGUGUUUAUUAGAAGGGAAGAAAGAUUCUGUUCUGAGAGAGUAGUUUAAAAAUGCAGCAAGAUGAAGUGUACGUGUGUGUUUGUUCUUUGAAACCCCUGUCUGCUUCCAGGUUAGAAAUCCUUUCAGGGAACUAUAAUCCUGGUGUGAUGUAUUAAAAACCUCUCAGAUUGAAAAGAAGCUCAGGAGACAACCAGUAAUAAUUCUGUGCAGCUUUUAUUAAAAGCAUGUAUGCUCGAUUCCGUGAUUAAAUGAAGCUGUGGUACGACUUUGAUGGUGUGUGUCUGCUCAUUCUCAAAGUCUGUACUAGAGAGAACUUUUUCUCGGACAGACUGUACAGUUCAUGUCAGGGUGAUUGUGCCAUCCAGAGAAGGUGGCAUGGGUCAUAAAUCCUCUCGGGAGAACAGACUGUCAUCAUUUAAGAGGCACAGUGACUUCUGGAAUUUUGCUGUUGACAGCAUGAAGACAGUAUAUGCGUUCCUGCUAGUCAAGUGAUUUCUUUAAGUUUGAUUAUUUAAGGUGGCAUAAACUAUCUCUUUAACAAGAUGAAUGCCUGAAUGCGAACCCUCAUGAAUCUGUACUUUAACUUGGAAGGUACAGAUCCCUCCUUUAUGGUCAAAGGAAAUCAUUAUGGUAGAGAUAGAUGGGCCUUCCACAGCUUCAGUCCCCAUUCCUCAGGUCAGCCUUCACCCACCAAGCCCAGGGACCACUGCAGGUGCGUGAGAAGUAAC